rnacentral:rRNA from 1 species
GAUGAACGCUGGCGGCGUGCUUAACACAUGCAAGUCGAACGGUAAGGCCCUUCGGGGUACACGAGUGGCGAACGGGUGAGUAACACGUGGGUGAUCUGCCCUGCACUUCGGGAUAAGCCUGGGAAACUGGGUCUAAUACCGGAUAGGACCACUGCCUGCAUGGGUGGUGGUGGAAAGCUUUUGCGGUGUGGGAUGGGCCCGCGGCCUAUCAGCUUGUUGGUGGGGUGAUGGCCUACCAAGGCGACGACGGGUAGCCGGCCUGAGAGGGUGACCGGCCACACUGGGACUGAGAGACGGCCCAGACUCCUACGGGAGGCAGCAGUGGGGAAUAUUGCACAAUGGGCGCAAGCCUGAUGCAGUGACGCCGCGUGAGGGAUGACGGCCUUCGGGUUGUAAACCUCUUUCAGCACCGACGAAGCGCAAGUGACGGUAGGUGCAGAAGAAGGACCGGCCAACUACGUGCCAGCAGCCGCCGUAA